CCCCCAAAGGAUCAUAGUUUAAGGGGGGUACUUUUGAAUUAGAUGAUCAAUGGAGCAUAGAGGUGUGAGAAAGAAAUCAUACUAGGAUGUGAAACCAG